rnacentral:sRNA from 1 species
CAACUUCAUCAUGCUGACUUCUUGCCACCGAAAAGGAGAUUCCAACCGUACGCAUUGCCUUUCUUUGCUGCUACAUCCAGCCGCUUUGCACCAACCUGUAUAAAAUUUUAAAUAAUAAAUAGUGGAGAAAACUGUUGAAAACGAAAUAAACCUGAUAUGAUAUCCAUGCUUCUUUUAGUCCGUGAGUUGCUGCAACAAUUGUCAGUUCAGCGCAUCUUUCAACUGGAACACUCUGUAGAAAAUUGUAACCUCAGAAGAUGGUUUUUGUGAUGAAGAGGUUGCACCAGAAGAUUGGGGUGCUUCGAUCGGCCCAGGACAGACAACAGUAACCUUAAUGCCUUUUGUACAUAACUGCAGCAAACAUAAGAAGAAAAAUAGCCAUUGAGGGCAUGUUUGGAGGCUGAAUAAAGAGCCUGGCCAGGUGAUGGAACC